AAUAUUUUUCCUGUUUUCAUGGCAACGGUGGCCAUUUUGAAAAUUCGAAACUCAAAAGUUAAGUCUACAUAAGCUAGGCAAAAUGUGUUAUAAGUUUCAUUAAAUUUAAAGCAUUUUGAAGUUUUUCAUAAUUUUGCUGUUCCCAUGGUAACGGCGGCCAUUUUGAAUAUUCCAAAAGUGCAAUUUUUUCCCUCCAUAAUCAUAUAUACCAUCAUAUACCAUUUAAUGUCUCUAGAAUAAAUUUAACAUUGAUG
rnacentral:lncRNA from 1 species